UACGUAGGUGGCAAGCGUUGUCCGGAUUUACUGGGCGUAAAGGGCGUGCAGGCGGUUUGUUAAGUCUAGGGUGAAAGCUCCCGGCUCAACUGGGAGAGGUCCUUGGAUACUGGCGAACUUGAGGGAUGCAGAGGAAAGUGGAAUUCCCGGUGUAGUGGUGAUAUGCGUAGAUAUCGGGAGGAACACCGGUGGUGUAGACGGCUUUCUGGACCGUAACUGACGCUGAGACACGAAAGCGUGGGUAGCAAACAGG
rnacentral:rRNA from 1 species